CGUCGGUCAGAAGCAGAGGGUGCAUGCUGGUAGUAGUCAGUUCGGUUUAGUUGUGUUUCCGUGGCAUGGUUCGGUCUGGACUUUUGCAAUGCGGUAGUAGUUUUAAGUUGGUGGCUGAUCGAUGAUGUAGUCUAGUUAGUUGGUUAAUUACUAGUUACUGUUGAAUGUUGAUGUAGUGGCGCUAGCGCUUAAGGUUCAACUUAAACUGUUGGUCAUGUAUAUUUCUGUUGGUCAUGUAUUGUGUGCAUGGUUCAGUUGGUGCUAGAUGAGAUGACCACCGAGUAAAUUAGUUGCAAGUUCAAUUAAGCAGGUUUACAUUUUUCGAUCUAAUGGUUUAUGGUUGUAUGCAUGUUGUGUGUGUUGUAGCAAAUUGAGUCCGUAAUUUGUUAUGUGAGUGGCUGGCUACCGACGCAGGAACUUGCUAGACACGUGAACAAACAUAUAGCCAUGCAUGCACAGACUAUAUAUGUCAGACUUGUCCAUUAUCAUAUGUGCCAAAACAUCUAAAAUGUGUACGGAUGGAGUACGUACUACUGUGCCUGGUCAUUCUGUAAAUCUGAAAUCAUUUAAUCGUCGUGCCGGUGUACUAGCUUAGUAUCACUAGUUGGCCACAUUCGGGCACCACCCGGGGCUUUGAUCUGAGCCCCCUCCCACAGGCGCUAUAUAAUUCUUGUACAGCGUCAAAAUAGCCUCCUCUUUUACAGCGUCAAAAUAGUCUUUUUCGCGUGAGGACUAUUUUCGCGUGAGGUUUUCUAGAUGCACAAAGAGGUUUACUAGAUACACAAAUGCAUAAAAAUAUGACGCCCAAUCCGCGGCACCAAAUUUUGGGGCGGAAGUAGGGCUGGAAUUCGGGCCCAGUCAAGCCAGCUCGGCUCGUUUCGUUAAUGAGCAAGCUCGACUCGAUUCGUUACUAUAACGAGCUCAAACCCAAGAUUAGCUCGACUUGUAUAACUCGCGAGCUGGCUCGUUUAACUUGUUAAGUUCGUUUAAGAUAUAAACAUAAAGCCCUUAAAUAUGAUAAAAAAUAAUUAUGUAUAUAUUAAACAUAUAUAUCACUAAACAAUUGUAAUCUUCUUGUAACGCGUGAGUCUCUUAGGAGGCUAGGCCUUCAACUGCUCGGCCUUGGGUUGUGCGCCUGGGACAUAGGCUGUUUAGUGGCUGAUCUUUCUUUGUAUUAGGAGUGGCUGAUCUACUGUAUCGAGCUUAAUGAGUUACACGAGUACUCGUGAGAUUGACUCGUUUAACUUGGUCCAUAAACGAUCUUAAAAUAAAAUUCGGCUCGACUCGUUAUUCUUCGAGUUCGGGUCGAUUCGAGUCGAGUCACGAGCUACUUGUUUAGCUCGCGAGCUUCGAGUUUUUUUUCCAGCUCUAGGCGGAAGCGACGAAGAGAUUUUUCGGAUGAAAAAACAUCGUCGCCAAUUAGGCAGCAGCGCUAGCACAAAAACGGCGCCCAAUCCGGCGGCCUAACCUAUCCGACACCCUAAAUUUGCAUCCUAGCAGCACGUGCGGUAAAGUUUCUUAGUGCAGCGGCUCUGUUUUAACAACUGUCUGAGGAAUGUUUUUGUCUUCGACGCAUAAAAACAAUGGUUUUUAACGCGUGAGGUAUUUUUUGGGUCUCUCUGACGCAUAAAAACGAUGAUUUUUAACGCAUGAGGUAUUUUUUAGGCGCCUAUUAAAGAUGCUCUUAGAACAGCCGGGCGCCCAAUACCUGCAUGGUCCAGUCUGAUCGGUCAAAAAACAACAACCUACCCAUACGCCCGAUUGGACAAAAAAAUGACGGAUGCCUCAAGCCGAUCUUAAACCCCGUCUAAAUUGAAGCACAUAUGGGGAGGUCAGACCCGGCACAGUCUAAAUAUGAAGCGGAUAUGGGGAGAUCGGACCCGACCAACGUUGGUGGGAGGAGGCCCGGGCGCGUCCUUCAUGUCGGACCCGGCCCACCCGAUCCCACAUAUAGUCAUCCUCAUCCACUCCUUGGAUCAAACCCUAGCCACUCCACUCCGUCCCCUCCACUACACUCCGCUCUGUCCGGCGAUCUCUGGCAUGGCGGGCAGCGAAUUCGAGUCCUACACCUUCAUAUUCAUCAACCCCGAGCUCACCCAUGUGGUCCCGAGGAGGACAUGACUGCCUGGCUUACGCUCCACCGCUUUUGGGAGGAGGCCGCCCGACAACAGCGCCCAGACUCCUUUUGCAGGGAAUCCAUUGCGUCCACCCAAAUGAUGCAUGGAUCCGCCGCGAGGUGUGGCAUCACUGCCUCAUUGGAGGUGGUGCAGUUCGUGUGGCAUCUGAACAUGGUGGCGGACGCGCAAUCCCUCCGUUGGCACGCCGAGGCGGAGGUGAACGCACCAUGGAUGCAGGGUGAUGCAAUCGUGGCAGCGGGUGCGGGAGACGGCGGCAACCCUCGCGGUGGUGGACGUUGCUGAGGCGGAGUCUCAUUUUCCGGCGCCCCGUAUGAUGCACAAGUCCUGGGGCCGCAACCGCGUCAUGAUGGAUGUCGUCGGCUUGUCACAACACGGAUCCAUUAUCGAUCUGACAUCUACCAGCACCAUCAGAGUUCGGGGCUCUGACGAGGAAGAGUAGGGCAUAGGAGACGGCGACACCUUGAGUCUCAUGAGCCGGCUUGUGCCCCAUGUCCUACUCUACCUCGUCAUCGACCGAACCAACACUCUGAGGAUUGCAUCCGGCCGUUGGGUAUGGGCAAGGCGCAGCCAGACCAGCCCCGCCAAAUAUUAGGCUUAUGUUGCAUGUAAUAGUAUGAAUUUGAGGUACCUAGUUGUGGAAUGAAUUAUUUGACGCCCGGUCACUAUUCGCAGCUGCGGGCGUUUGAGGGUUCGAAUUUACUAAGUUCGGAUGUAGAUGCUCGUAAGAUGUACGGUUCUAUGUCUGAAUGAUGUCAUUUUUAAGUUGAUAACCAAGGUUAUUAAUAAUAGGGUUAUUAUUUCAACCGAAAGAACUGUAACCCUGUACAAACAACAUUUAUCAAAGAAAGAUAUAUACUUUAGUAGUUAUCUAUACCUACUAAUAAAGCAAGCUGCGUUUCGGCAAUUUUUUCAUCCUUUCAGCGCUGAUUUUUUUUUAUUAGAGGUGGUACUAAAUUCUUAUGCGUUCGUCUGCUAGAAAAAAAUGUUUUUCCAGAAUUUCGUACGUGGGUCGCGCGUUGUGGCCCGGGGAAGCCAGCCCAUUUAUUUUUCUGCCCACGCAGCUAGAAAAAUUCUAUUUUUUGCACAGGGCCAGAAAUAGUCAGAGCUUCGCAUAGGACAACCACUAAUGGGCUGGCCCAUUUCUCUUUGUUUCUGUGGUUUAAUUCUUUUUUUUUCUCCUUCCCCUAUCUCUUUCUACCCUUCCAAGUUUAUUUUCUUUCAUAAUAUAUUUCAUAAAUUCAAAAAUCCCAAAAAACAUUCAGAACUAAAAAAAUGAAAAAUGUUCAGAAUUCCAAAUUUUUGUUGCUAUUUUGAAAAAUAUUCAGACCUUGAAAAAAAGUACCCCCUUUUUUGUAAAAAAUAUUGUUUUUCAAAAUAGUUCGAGAUUUCUAAAAACUAAAUAGCAUUAUCAAAGGUGCUCCAAUUCAAAAUAUAUUCUUGUUUUAGUGAAAUUUCAGAAUUCAGAAUAAUGUUCCCGUAUAAAAGAUAAAGAUUUUCGAAAAAUGUUAUGAAUUUUUAACACAUGUUUCCGUUAUAAAAAAAUGUUCAAAAAUUCAAAUAAUGUCCAUGUUUUUUAGAAGGUGUUUUCAAAAAAUAUUCGUGAAUUGGAAAAGAUGUUCAUGUUUCAAAUAUUGUUCGCGUUUUGCUGAAAGUGUAUGUAAUUUUCAGAAACCUGUUCAGGAUUUAAAAAUUGCUUUAUGUGUUCUACAAUAUUCAGAAAAUUCAUACCUUAAAAUCUCCUCGAUUGAAAGAAAAAGUAGAUUGAAUAAUUCGUGGGCGUUCUUUGGCGUACGAUGAAGUAACGAAACUCUUAAAUGUCCUCGAUUAACAAAUAAAAAUAUGGCAGAUUGAUUACUUCACACCAGCGAAACCGAGAAGCUAAAUGUUCAUUUUUCACGUGCAGACAAAGGUGAUGAUCAAUAUACCUACCUACUAAUGAAGCAAGAUGCGUUUCGCCAAUUUUUUCAUCCGUUCACCGCAAAAAAUAUUUUUUUCCUAUCAGAGGUGGUAGUAAAUUCUUAUGUCUUCAUCUUUUUUUUUUGAGACAAUCUCGCAUGCUUUUAUUCAUAGCCCAUAAUGUUUACAGGAAUAAACUCAAGGUUUCCUGGUUGACCUAGCCAUACAUGAUGACCAAAAUUUAAAGACAAAGCAUAUCUAGCGAGAUUGUGAGCCUCGAAAUUCGAGCUCCUGAACUCAUGAACUACUUUACAUGAAGAGAAAGCGUUUGCACGAAGUAUUAUUUCAUGCACAAUGGCGCCGUAACCAGCCGCCGAGUUUUUCUGGACAUCUUCAACCACCCUCUUGCAAUCUGUUGCUAUUUGAAUGGAGUUCUCAUAUAGAUCCUCGGCCAACGAUUGGCCUUCCCUUACUGCUAUUGCCUCUAGUGUGCUUACAUCCGUGAUGAACUCAAGUUUUAAGAUCGAAGCACCCAAAAAGCGUCCUUGUUGGUCUCGGCACACUGCUCCCACUGCUCCAAACUCCCCUUGCAAGGACACUGUUGCAUCCACAUUCAUCUUUGCAUGCCCCUCCGGCGGAGGCAACCAUGAGUGUUGCCCCAAGCUAGCUUGCUUCGUAGCAUUGCCAGCUCCUCUGUCGAUCAUCUUCAAGUCCCUCAAAAAGGAGAGUAUGAAAGAGUUAGUAGUAAAAGGGCUAUCAAAAAUCUCUUCAUGUAUUGCUCUCCUUCUUGCUCGCCAAACUGCCCAGAGUGUCACCACCAUCCGUAUAAAUUCCCCUUGAGGCAAAGAUUCAUCCCACGUAAAAAUCCAGUUUUUUUCAUCCAACGAAAGAUUACCCAACAUUGCAUCCACAGUCUCCUCUGAGCAGAGUGACCAUACACUCCUGGCCAUCACACAGUCCACUAGUGCAUGCUUCCAGUCAUCUUGCGCAGAACAAAAAGCGCAACUUAUGUCUUCAUCUGCUAUAAAAAAAGAUUUUCCAGGAUUUCAUACGUGGGGCUGCGCGCUGUUACCCAGCAAAGCCAGCCCACUUAUUUUUGUGCCAAAGCAGCUGCCAAAAUUAUAUUUUCCGCACAUGGCCAAAACGUUGGAUUCUCGCACAGGACGACCAAUAAUGGACUGACCAUUUUUAUUUGUUUCUGUGUUUUACUUCUAUUUUUAUUCUCUGUCCCCUAUUUCCUUUUUCCCUUUCAAGUUUAUUUUUCUCAUAGAAUUUAUUUCAUAAACUAAAAAUUCACAUAAAAUGUCCAGAACUAAAAAAAAAUUCGGAAAUGUUCAGAAUUCUAAAAUUUUAUUGCAAUUUUGAAAAAUAUUCGGACCAUGAAAAAAGUUUCAUUUUUUUCAAAAUUCUUUAUUUUUUUCAUAAUUGUUUGAGAUUUAUAAAAAGAAAAUGGCAUUUUAAAAAAUGCUCCAAAUUCAAAAAUUAUUUUGGUUCAAUGAAUUUUUCACAAUUAUGAAUAAAGUUCGGGUAUAAAAGAUACACAUUUUCAAAAAAUAUUAUGAAUUUUCAACACAUGUUCUUGUUUUAAAAAAAAUAAAUUUCAAAUAUUUUCCAUGUUUUUAUUUAAAAAGUUGGUGUUGUCAAAAAAAUGAGAAUUUUAAAAGAUGUUCCUAUUUCAAAUUCUGUUCACGUUUUUCUGAAAGUGUACAUUAUUUUCAAAAACAUGUUCAGGAUUUAAAAAUGGUUCAUGUUUCCUACAAUAUUCGGAUAUUUCAUACCUUAAAUUAUCCUUGGUUUAAGGGAAAAGUAGAUUGAAUAAUUCAUGGGCAUUCUCUGGCAUAUGGUGACGUAACUGAACACUUAAAUGCCGUCGAUCAAAAAAUAACGGAUGAUUACUUCUCACCUGGCGAAACCCAUAAGCUAAAUGUACCUUUUUUCAGGUGUGCAUAGGGUUUUGCUUGUACACAUAAUUCUCAAUAACUUUAAAUGUAUAUAUUUUGAUUUUUCUCCCAUUGCAACGCACUGGCAUAUAUGGUAAAUAGUUGAAGCUUCCCAUAGGGUGCCUAAACUAGGCCGACCCAUUUCCCCUUUUUCUUUGUUCCAUUUCUAUUUUUCUAUUACUGUUUUCUUUCUCUUUCUCUUUUAUAUUUCUUGUUCCCUUUUCGCCUUAUUUAUUUUUAUUUUUUCUAUAAAUAAAAAAUUAAAAACAUUUCCUAAUUGUUUUCUGAAUGCUCCCUUUAAAAAAUAAAAAUUCAAAAAAAAUUGUCUUUUUGUAAAAUUCAUAUGUUUUCAAAAUAUUGUUUGUGGAUUUCAAAAAAUAUUCAUGUCUCUAAUUUUGUUCGUGCUUUUCCAAGAAUAUAUAUUCGCGCUGGCUAUUGGUUGCCCGUUCGUUCUAUGCUGGUUGACUAUAAAUGAAAGAAAUUGUGGGCAUGUGACAAUAAAAGAGAAUAUGUUGUUUGACUUUAAUUAAAGCAAAAUUAUGGGCACUUGAGCACUAAAAUAAUAAGAAAGAAUAAACCCUCAAAAUGAUGGUACAUUCAUGCCUGAUUAUGCUAACGAAACAGAAUUUAUGCGUUGCAAUUAAUAAUCCACCUAGUUAUGCCAUCGUAAGAUAGAGUUGUCAAAGCAACCGUGUCCCGAAGUUCGCCGUGCAACCAAGAAAUGAGGAGGCAGGCACAAUCCCAAGAUGGAGGCGGACCCGGAGGAAAAAGGCAUGACUUGGAUGCUCGCCACCAUGCCGACCAACGCCACUACUAGCAAGAUUUCGCGUGUCAAACAUGUCCAACGAGAAGACCAUUACUCCUUCCUCUGUUGCCUACCAUUGUGGAGACCCUUUUUUUAGAUUACACAUAAAUUAUCUUUCCUGUUGCUUCUCGCAAAAAAAUAUCUCUCUUGUUGCAAUGCACGGGCAUAUGUGCUAGUCUUACAUAAAGCUUGAAAUUAUAUUCAUCGAAACAGAAGUGAUGUAGUGAUGUUUAAAAUGGAUUUUGAAAAAUCCUAUGACAAAGCGUUCAAACUUCCUUUUUAUGUUCUAGGGAUGCAGGUUUUCCUAGUUUAUUUUAAAAGAAGGGCUAUUGCCCAUUUUAUAAAUAAAUCCAAACGUGAUAGAGGGACCCCAUGAUGACAAUGGGUAGGGUAUGUGUGGGUACAACCUUCUUAUUGUUUGCUAUUGCCUGACUUUAUUUUACCGAAAAAGGCUCGCGCUCCGCUUUAUAGAUAAAACAACUACCAUGCAACUCCAUGACACCACACACACACAAGGCAAGAUACAAUGACGAUAGAAUCUAAAUCUAAGGAUGCCAUGAUGCCCCAUUGUUUACAAGGAAACAAGCAGACUCUACUCCUUUGAGACGUGCUAUGAGCAGCGAUGACACAUGCUGCGACCGGUGGGAUAACAUGCUGCAAGCGGCAAUAACGGAUGCUUUGACUUGCUAGGAUGACAUGAUGCAAAUGGUUGGACGAUGUGUUGUGACCUUUGGGAUGACAUGUUGCAGGCGGCUAUCGCGGAUGCUACAACCAAGGGGAGAUGUGCUUCGAGCGGUGAGGGCGGACGUUGCAACCAGUGGAUGACAUGUUGCAAGCAGCGUUGACGGAUAUUGCGAGCGGUGAGACUACAUGUUGUGAGGCCGAGUGCUCAGUCUUGUAGAAAUCUCAGCACAAAAUAUCCAGCGGCUACAGCCUACAGAGUUGACUCAAACUUAACUAAAUCUCUAUCAACUACAGCGGCUACAGAGUUGACUCAAACUUAACUAAACCUCUAUCAACUAUGAUUUAACUUCAAUGGUCAAUCCACAUGCAUGCAAUUUUUUCCAUGACUUGGACUGAUUCGCCGUGCAACUACUACUUAAUUAUUACUAGCUAGCAAUCUGAAUGAGACGGUGAUCUGAAUAUGUAUGGUCUAUCUAAUUCGACAGCAGCAUCAGAUCAUGAUCUUACUCUCCAUGCUCAAGAUGAAGCUCCUGCUGAAACGCCAUCUCUCCACCGCCGUGGUGAUCUACCAUAUCCAUUGUCCGCGGCGGCAUCGGCGGCGGUGGCAACGUGCAGGUAGGUUAUGUAGACGGCGAGGCAGUACCCGGAAACAGCAGCCAAUGCCAUGAGCAGCAGCAGCUGGAAGACUGCCGCGCAGAGGGCGCCUGCCACGGUGCGGGUCGCCAGAGAAACCACGACGCCGCACACGAUGAGGAAGAAGGUCGCCGGCUCCAUCCACGCCGGGAACAGGGCGCCAUGCAGGAGCACCAUGCCCACGGUGACCACCCAGAGCACGGCGUGCAGCCAGCCCAUGAACGAGAGGACGGACAUGGUGUCGAGCUCGUCGGCCAUGCCUCCGACGCUGGCGAUCAGGAGGAACAUGAGCGCCGUCCAGACGGCCGUCACGCCAAGCGCCGUGAGGGCGAGCGUGCGGGUGGCGCUCCGGGCCUGGGCCCUGGUGCGGCAGGUGGGGUGGGGGAGGGGCAGCGCGCCGCCGCGGAUGGCCCGCUCUGUGCCGGCGCCGAGGCGGUGCAGGGCGAGCGCGUACCCGAAGUAGGCGGCGGCGUAGACGGUGGUCAGGUGGAGGGCCAGGAUGGCGGCGCGGGGACCGAUCUCGCUGGCGGCGGAGGAGGCCAGCAGGAGGCCGUAGGAGAGGCGGGCCAGGUCGGUGUAGAACGGCCAGCUGCGCCAGAUGCACUGCAGGAGGAGGAACACGUACGCGCAGAUGGUGACGGCCAUGAUCCACACCUGGGACAUGGGGUGCCCGUCGUAGCGCACCAGCAGCACGGCCGGGACGGCCACGGCGAACGCCGCUGUGAAGCCCAGCAACGCGACGGCGAGGAUCACCUUCACCUGCACCAGGCCGGGGUCCAGCCGCCUGAAGCGCUCCAGCAAGGUGGAGCGUAUGCUCAUGUCGACGGCGGCCAUGGCCACGGAAGUCGAUCCUCCCCACGCUUUUUCUUUUCACUUUACCCUUUGUUCGUUCAAGAAAAGAUAAGGACGGGAUUCCUUUCUUUUCCUAACAAAAAACAAGACGAGCACAACAAAUUUCCCUUACUUUAGCAACAGACACCAUCACAUUGCAGCAAAUGGAUUACUAUGUACUAGUACAAAUGCCAGUGCGUUGCACCGGGUGAUAAAAGUGAUAUAACCUGCUUGAUGGUUCAUUUUUCACCAUAUUUUGUAUCCAAUUUUAAUAAAUGUCAAAUGUGGAAAUUUCCCUUUUUCUAAUAAAACUUUAACAUUUCAUUAAAAUUGUAAUACCUUUUGAAGAAUAGUUAACAUCUAUAUGAAAAUUGGAACAGACUAUAUAAAAUAAAAAAGAAAUUAAAGAAUGUAUUUCUGUUGUAUAUUUCGAAAUGGUUUUUGUAGUAAGAAGUUUUUUUGGGGUAAUUUUUAAGUGUUUUUAAAAAAUAAAAACAUAUUUGUUUGAAAUAUUUUUAAACUAUUUUUUUGUGUUAAACUUUUUGGGCAUUUUUGUUUGGUAAUUUUUACAGAUAGUUGGUUGUUUGGUUGGGAAGUUUUUUUUUAACUAUUUGGGCUUGCCUAAACAAAAUAGUUAACAUACACAGAAGGACCCAUGGACUCAUCUUCGUACCGCUUCGGUCGAUGCUCUCCGGCUUGUAGGACGGAGCCCGUAAAAGGAGCCCACGGAGAAGGACAAUGUAAUAUCCGAGAUGGUGGUUGGGGACGGGCUGAAUGACCUCUAGGGCAGUGGAUGCGGGCCGGCGGCGUGAUGAAGGAGAAGGGUGAACGACGGCGACGACGCAGACGCGGGAAAUAAUGGACGAACACGAGAGGAUGGCGGUGCGUUUGAUGGACUAGGUCAUUUUGGUGGAAUAGGCGUUGGGUAUGGCCCGUCUGGUCCGACGUGGCGGACGCGCCCGAGCAUGCCCGGGCCUCCCCAUACCCGGCGUAGAUUUCGGCUGAAUAUGAGAGGUGCCGGUCAACCUAGACGUAUAGAGCCAGUAUGAGGCUUCCGUCUUAAUCCAUUUUUUAUCGGGUCGUCCCAGACUUAUGGGGAAGGGGGUUUGGGGAGCGGUGCGGGGUGCGGGGUGCGGGGUGCCCUAUCUGUGCAUGCGAGUUGGAGACUGCUGAUCAUCUAAUCUUUGAGUGUCCGUUUGCUCAUUCCUUCCAGCGAAUGGUGGGGGUCGGCGUCAAGGACAAUGCAUUAUUCCGCGUGGAUGCCCUACAAGCCCUUGAUGUUAGCCCCGUGGUUGGGGGCGCUUCACCUACCACGUUCACACUCCUGUGCUGCUGGCAGCUGUGGAAGCACGGGAAUUCUGUGGUGUUCCGAGCCCAGACGCCAUCCCUCGCCCUCGUGCUUGGUUGCUGCAGGGAGGACGACGUCCUCUGGCAUGGGCAUCUGAAGAGGGAGGUGUGGUCCGACGCUGAUGUUUGGCUACAGGCGCUCAGCUCCCCUCUCUCUCGCUCUCCCUCCUACACUCUCGCUUGUGACUUCCCCGUCCCUGUGAGUGCUAUAAAAUCAAUAGAUAAAAUGAUUCAGGUGGGGGUCUUUGCCCCUCCCUAGUGACCUUACAAAAAAUCAACGGUUGUAGAAUGCUUUGUGGAAGUUAAAUGUGCUACCUAAAGUGAGAGUAUUCUUCUGGCGUGUUCUUAGGGGCAUUGUCGGUGUCAAAACCGGCGGAUCUCGGGUAGGGGGUCCCGAUCUGUGCGUCUAGGCGGAUGGUAACAGGAGACGAGGGACACGAUGUUUUUACCCAGGUUCGGGCCCUCUUGAUGGAGGUAAAACCCUACGUCCUGCUUGAUUAAUAUUGAUGAUGUGGGUUACAAGAGUAGAUCUACCACGAGAUCAAGGAGGCUAAACCCUAGAAGCUAGCCUAUGGUAUGAUUGUUGUUCGUCCUAUGGACUAAAGCCAUCCGGUUUAUAUAGACACCGGAGAGGGCUAGGGUAACACAGAGUCGGUUACAAUGGUAGGAGAUCUACAUAUCCGUAUCGCCAAGCUUGCCUUCCACGCCAAGGAAAGUCCCAUCCGGACACGGGACGAAGUCUUCAAUCUUGUAUCUUCAUAGUCUUGGAGUCCGGCCGAUGAUGCUAGUUCGGCUAUCCGGACACCCUCUAGUCUGGAACUCCCUCAGUAGCCCCUGAACCAGGCUUCAAUGACAACGAGUCCGGCGCGCAUGUUGUCUUCGGCAUUGCAAGGCGGGUUCUCCCUCCGAAUAAUUCAUAGAAGAUUGUGAACACCAGGAUAGUGUCCGGCUCUGCAAAAUAAUUUCCACAUACCACCGUAGAGAGAAUAAUAUUUACACAAGUUCAAUCUGCUGACGUAUUUGAUGGCGUGACGUCACACCACUACCAAGCCUUUACUUAAAUUGUCUUUAUUGUACCACCUCAGCGUGUUUAGCGAAGCCGUUUCCUUGGCACGUCUUGUCGAAGCAGAGAUCGUGUUCCUCUUAUUCCAGGAUUCCCAUCAAUACGGACGUGGGUAACCCAACCGCGCCCGUCGCCACGCCCCCUCCAUCGAAGGCGGGUUCCAAACGGUCACGGAGACGGCUCUCGGUAUUCUUCCUCUUUAUAAUGAGACCAAGGCCGGUUCUUUUCCUUCAAUCCUCAAUCGAAUCCGCCCCUCGCCCCCGAGUUCCAACACCCAGGGCUCCAGAUUCGGGUACCUUUGACCUUCGACAAUGUCCAGCUCCGACCCACCGGGCCGGUGGAUGCCCUCCUCCGUCACGGAAGAAGACGUGUUGAAGCUGAGAGACGCCAGGUAUUUGACCUAUGAGAUUUCGCAUAGGUUGCCUGCCCGAGGGCAAGUUAUCCCUACUCCCGAGCCCGGCGAGAGCGUUGUGUUUGUGUCUCACCUCCGUAGGGGUUUAGGCUUCCCGAUGGACCCCUUCGUGAGGGGGCUCAUGUUUUACUAUGGGCUGGAAUUCCAUGACUUGGCUCCGGAGUCCAUCCUCCACAUCUCAUCGUUUAUUGUCGUUUGCGAAGCUUUUCUCCGCACUACCCCUCACUUCGGCUUGUGGCUCAAAACCUUCAAUGUGGAGCCGAAGAUGAUCGAGGGGCGUCAGGCAGAGUGCGGAGGGGCGUUUAUAAGCAAGAGGGUCGAUGCUCCAUGGCCCGAGGGCUCUUUUCAAGAGGAGCUCGACAUGUGGCAACAGGAGUGGUUCUAUAUCACCGCUCCCAGGGGCAGCAGGCAGAGGCCGCUGCCCGUCUUCCGCUCGGGCCCUCCACAACAGUUGACGUCAUGGGUCAACAUGGGGCGUGACUGGGGGCCGCCUAAAGACGUACCCCUUUUGCAGGACCGGAUUCGAGGCCUCCAAGAAAGGGAGAUCAAUCUAGUCGCAGUAGUACAGGUUAUGUUGGUCCGGCGCCUACUGCCCUGCAAACGUCGCCCCCUCCGCCUGUGGGAAUUUAAUCCGGAGGGGCCACGAGCUCUUCAACACUUUAUGGAUUUGACACCCAUGGAGAUGUACAAACUGUUCUUCGGAUCGCAAGAGAUGCGUUCGGACUUGACCGAGGACGCUGGCCUAAGCUGCAAUCGCCCGGAUACUCAAGUAAGUAGCCCUGUGUCCGGACACACUAUCCACUUAUUUAUCGUGGGUUUGCCCUUUAACCAGCUAUCCCUUGAACAGGAGUGGAUAGCGCUAGCGAAACUGAUACGGUGUCCGGCCCCCCUCCCUGAGACCAUGAAAGAUCCCGUGUUAAUCAAAAUGUUGGAAGUUGCGCCCUCAGAGGAGGGCGAAGGGGGGCACAGGGGAACUACCACCUCUGCCAAGGAGCCUUUCAGUAAGGGAGGAAUCGAGAGUCCCUCCUUCCAGGGGGAUAAGAGGACAGCUUCCGAAAACCCGGAGGCCAAGGCCUCGAAGCGGGGAAAGAAAUCUGUGCCGGAAGGUCCUGUGCCGGGGAGAGCCCCGGCCGCACUGUCUCCUCGGAGGAAUCAGCCCUCCAGCGAGCCGUAAGUAAAAAAGGAGGAAUUUUGUAAUAGUGGAUACCCCUGCUUAAUUUUUGAGGGUAACCGAAGUUUUCAUCUUGUAGUUCGGAUCUCAGCCUGUCUCAGCGCAGCUCAUCUUCGGGGGACCUUCGUCCGGAGAUGAUGGAGAGUGAAACGCCUCCAUCUUCCGCCCCAUCGUACGGGGCGGACGACCCUGAGGUGUCGUCGCGCAGGGUCUCCCCGAGUCCGGCGGGGCCUGAGAGUUCGGCACCCACUGGAGUACGGUCGGGGGAACUGCAGGAUUUGUUGGAAAUAUGCCCUAGAGGCAAUAAUAAAAGUAUUAUUAUUAUAUUUCCUUGUUCAUGAUAAUUGUCUUUUAUUCAUGCUAUAACUGUAUUAUCCGGAAAUCGUAAUACACGUGUGAAUACAUAGACCACAAUAUGUCCCUAGUGAGCCUCUAGUUGACUAGCUCGUUGUGAUCAACAGAUAGUCAUGGUUUCCUGGCUAUGGACAUUGGAUGUCGUUGAUAACGGGAUCACAUCAUUAGGAGAAUGAUGUGAUGGACAAGACCCAAUCCUAAGCAUAGCACAAAGAUCGUGUAGUUCGUUUGCUAGAGCUUUGCCAAUGUCAAGUAUCUCUUCCUUUGACCAUGAGAGCGUGUAACUCCUGGAUACCGUAGGAGUGCUUUGGGUGUAUCAAAUGUCACAACGUAACUGGGUGACUAUAAAGGUGCACUACAGGUAUCUCCGAAAGUAUCUAUUGUUUUAUGCGGAUCGAGACUGGGAUUUGUCACUCCGUGUAAACGGAGAGGUAUCUCUGGGCCCACUCGGUAGGACAUCAUCACAUGCGCAAUGUGACCAAGGAGUUGAUCACGGGAUGAUGUGUUACGGAACGAGUAAAGUGACUUGCCGGUAACGAGAUUGAACAAGGUAUUGGAUACCGACGAUCGAAUCUCGGGCAAGUAACAUACCGAUAGACAAAGGGAAUUGAAUACGGGAUUGAUUAAGUCCUUGACAUCGUGGUUCAUCCGAUGAGAUCAUCGUGGAACAUGUGGGAGCCAUCAUGGGUAUCUAGAUCCCGCUGUUGGUUAUUGACCGGAGAACGUCUCGGUCAUGUCUGCAUGCCUCCCGAACCCGUAGGGUCUACACACUUAAGGUUCGAUGACGCUAGGGUUAUAAAGGAAGUUUGUAUGUGGUUACCGAAUGUUGUUCGGAGUCCCGGAUGAGAUCCCGGACGUCACGAGGAGUUCCGGAAUGGUACGGAGGUAAAGAUUUAUAUAUGGGAAGUCCUGUUUUGGUCACCGGAAAAGUUUCGGGCGAUAUCGGUAUUGUGCCGGGACCACCUGGAGGGUCCCGGGGGUCCACCAAGUGGGGCCACCUGCCCCAGAAGGUUGCGUGGGCCAAGUGUGGGAGGGGACCAGCCCCUAGGAGGGCUGGUGCGCCCCCCACAAGGGGGCCAAGGCGCAAGGGAGAGUGGGAGGGGGCAAACCCUAGUCCAGAUGGGCCUUAAGGCCCAUAUUGGUGCGCCUCCCUCUCCUCUCCCCUCUUGGCCGCCUCCCCUUUGCCAUCUAGGGCUGGCCGCACCCCUUGGGGGUGGGAAACCCUAAAGGGGGCGCAGCCCCCCCUUCCCCCUAUAUAUAGAUGAGGUUUGGGGCUGCCAUACACAUGAGAAAUUCUUCCUCUUGGUGCAGCCCUGCCUCUCUCCCUACUCCUCCUCUCCCAUGGUGCUUGGCGAAGCCCUGCUGGAUUGCCACGCUCCUCCACCACCACCACGCUGUUGUGCUGCUGCUGGAUGGAGUCUUCCUCAACCUCUCCCUCUCUCCUUGCUGGAUCAAGGCGUGGGAGACGUCACCGGGCUGUACGUGUGUUGAACGCGGAGGUGCCGUGCGUUCGGCACUUGAUCAUCGGUGAUUUGAAUCACGACGAGUACGACUCCAUCAACCCCGUUCACUUGAACGCUUCCGCUUAGCGAUCUACAAGGGUAUGUAGAUGCACUCUCUUUCUACUCGUUGCUGGUCUCUCCAUAGAUAGAUCUUGGUGACACGUAGGAAAAUUUUGAAUUUCUGUUACGUUCCCCAACAGUGGCAUCAUGAGCUAGGUCUAUUGCGUAGAUUCUUUGCACGAGUAGAACACAAAGUAGUUGUGGGCGUUGAUGUUGUUCAAUAUGCUUAUCGUUACUAGUCCAAUCUUGUUCCGACGGUAUUGUGGGAUGAAGCGGCCCGGACCGACCUUACACGUACUCUUACGUGAGACAGGUUCCACCGAUUGACAUGCACUUGGUGCAUAAGGUGGCUAGCGGGUGCCAGUCUCUCCCACUUUAGUCGGAACGGAUUCGAUGAAAAGGGUCCUUAUGAAGGGUAAAUAGCAAUUGGCAUAUCACGUUGUGGUCUUGCGUAGGUAAGAAACGUUCUUGCUAGAAACCCAUAGCAGCCACGUAAAACAUGCAACAACAAUUAGAUGACGUCUAACUUGUUUUUGCAGGGUAUGCUUUGUGAUGUGAUAUGUCCAGAAGAAUGUGAUGAAUGAUAUGUGAUGUAUGAGAUUGAUCAUGUUCUUGUAAUAGGAAUCACGACUUGCAUGUCGAUGAGUAUGACAACCGGCAGGAGCCAUAGGAGUUGUCUUUAUUAUUGUAUGACCUGCGUGUCAUUGAAGAACGCCAUGUAACUUACUUUACUUUAUUGCUAAACACGUUAGCCAUAGAAGUAGAAGUAGUCGUUGGCGUGACAACUUCAUGAAGACACGAUGAUGGAGAUCAUGAUGAUGGAGAUCAUGGUGUCAUGCCGGUGACAAGAUGAUCAUGGAGCCCCGAAGAUGGAGAUCAAUGGAGCUAUAUGAUAUUGGCCAUAUCAUGUCACAACUAUAUAAUUGCAUGUGAUGUUUAUUAUGAUUAUGCAUCUUGUUUACUUAGGACGACGGUAGUAAAUAAGAUGAUCCCUUACAAAAUUUCAAGAAGUGUUCUCCCCUAACUGUGCACCGUUGCUACAGUUUGUCGCUUCUAAGCACCACGUGAUGAUCGGGUGUGAUGGAUUCUUACGUUCACAUACAACGGGUGUAAGACAGUUUUACACAGCGAAAACACUUAGGGUUAACUUGACGAGCCUAGCAUGUGCAGACAUGGCCUCGGAACACGGAGACCGAAAGGUCGAGCAUGAGUCGUAUAGUAGAUACGAUCAACAUGAAGAUGUUCACCGAUGAUGACUAGUCUGUCUCACGUGAUGAUCGGACACGGCCUAGUUGACUCGGAUCAUGUAAUCACUUAGAUGACCAGAGGGAUGUCUAUCUGAGUGGGAGUUCAUAAGAUGAACUUAAUUAUCCUGAACAUAGUCAAAAGACCUUUUGCAA
rnacentral:lncRNA from 1 species